CGAACCCCGACGCUCCGGUGCCCCCUGGUGCCCGCACGGCCGCACUAACCGGCGGACAGACGGGAGGCCUGCGGAUUCAGGAUGGCUCCUUGGACUCUCCCCACCCUCCCCGCCCUCCGCUUCUCCCCGGGGCUGCUAAGGAACCAACAUGACAUUGGCUGGGCCCAAGGAAGAGAGGACAGGGCCAAAACAGUAAUGGGAUACGUGAACCUCUCAGCGGUUCCCGGAAUUCGGGAUGCUGCAGAUUUAGGCCUGGGACCUGAGUAUUCAGUGCUGAAGAAAGCCGAAGACCAAGGAGUCCCCGUUGGAAACAAAGGCACGCGCUGUCCUGCCAACCCCCAUGCAGCCUCCCUACAAGGCUGAAGCUUUUUCUAGAAACAUCCCACAAGAGACACGAGGUGAUGGACUUGUGAUCCCCACCCAGAUCCCUGCACCAAACCCAGAAGAAGAGGAUGAGGGCCAUCUGUAAGUACUGUGUCCUCAGCAGGCAGAACCUCCAGGGAUGUUUUGGGGAGAUAAGAUGGCAGAUCAUGAUCAGGGUCAUGGGCCCAAUCACUCCUCUCAGGCCACUCCUCUGCAAGGCCUGCUCCAGCCAUGCUCCUCCCCUUCCCACUCUGGUCCACAAGCGGCAGUGUCGGGAAUGUAAGGUUCAUGAGAGGAGGGGUCCAGCCCGUCUUGUUCUAUAAUGGGGCCAGUACAGCAUUCAGUGUCUGGGAUAUAAUAAUGUCCAAAAAUGUCCAAAUGCUGAAUGGAUGAAUGAAUUAAUUAAAGUUUUAAGAAAAUAAUUCAUCAUGGGAUCCUUUUUCUUACACCUAGUAACAGCACACCUGGGGCCUUUCAAAACUAUUCUAGUCCUCAUAGUCUCCAUCUAGAGACUAGAAAGUGAAGUACACUCAGGAUCUGUACUUCAUUAUUCAGCCAACUGCAUAGUUUUAAUAUGUCCUACUAAUUAUUGAUCUGUGUUCUUUUUGUCUCCCACACUAGAUGAUAAGUUCCUUGAUGGCAGAAACUUUCCUUUAUUUGCUGAAUUUACAGUUGAUAGAUUUGCCAUCAUGCUGUGCCAUUCCUGGAUUCCAUGCUAAACUUACUUUUCUCAUGACUUCAGCAUGAAAAUCUUGUGUCAGAAGAGAAUAAAUUUGGUGGUUUUUGAGUUAGAGUCCUUUCU
rnacentral:lncRNA from 13 species